GAAAUUUAAAUGGGGCGUGGCCAAGUGGUAAGGCAACGGGUUUUGGUCCCGGUAUUCGGAGGUUCGAAUCCUUUCGUCCCAG
rnacentral:tRNA from 7 species